rnacentral:rRNA from 1 species
GAUAGAUACCUGGUAGUCCGCACGGUAAACGAUGGAUGCCCGCUGUAGGCGAUACAUUGUCAGCGGCCAAGCGAAAGCGUUAAGCAUCCCACCUGGGGAGUACGCCGGCAACGGUGAAACUCAAAGGAAUUGACGGGGGCCCGCACAAGCGGAGGAACAUGUGGUUUAAUUCGAUGAUACGCGAGGAACCUUACCCGGGCUUGAACUGCAGAGGAAGGAUCUAGAGAUAGUGACGCCCUUCGGGGCCUCUGUGGAGGUGCUGCAUGGUUGUCGUCAGCUCGUGCCGUGAGGUGUCGGCUUAAGUGCCAUAACGAGCGCAACCCCUCUCCGUAGUUGCCAUCGGGUGAUGCCGGGCACUCUGCGGACACUGCCACCGCAAGGUGUGAGGAAGGUGGGGAUGACGUCAAAUCAGCACGGCCCUUACGUCCGGGGCUACACACGUGUUACAAUGGGGCAUACAGAGGGCUGGAUAUGCGCAAGCAUGUCCGAAUCUUGAAAGUGUCCCUCAGUUCGGAUUGGGGUCUGCAACCCGACCCCAUGAAGCUGGAUUCGCUAGUAAUCGCGCAUCAGCCAUGGCGC